rnacentral:rRNA from 1 species
GACGAACCGUGCGAACGUUGUUCGGAAUCACUGGGCUUAAAGGGCGCGUAGGCGGGCCAGCAAGUCAGGGGUGAAAUCCCGCGGCUCAACCGCGGAAGUGCCUUUGAUACUGCGGGCCUGGAGGGAGGUAGGGGCGUGCGGAACUUCCGGUGGAGCGGUGAAAUGCGUAGAUAUCGGAAGGAACACCGGUGGCGAAGGCGGGUCUCUGGGCCGAUAUUGACGCUGAGGAGCGAAAGCGUGGGGAGCGAACGGG